UGCCAGCCGCCGCGGUAAUACGGAGGGGGUUAGCGUUGUUCGGAAUUACUGGGCGUAAAGCGCACGUAGGCGGAUCAGAAAGUUAGGGGUGAAAUCCCGGGGCUCAACUCCGGAACUGCCAUUGAUACUGAAAGUCUUGAGUACAGUUGAAGUAGGCGGAAUGUGUAAUGUAGCGGUGAAAUGCUUAGAUAUUACACAGAACACCGAUUGCGAAGGCAGCUUACUAAGCUGUUACUGACGCUGAUGCACGAAAGCGUGGGGAGCGAACAGGAUUAGAUA
rnacentral:rRNA from 1 species